GUGCCAGCCGCCGCGGUAAUACGUAGGGGCCGAGCGUUGUCCGGAGUUACUGGGCGUAAAGCGCGCGCAGGCGGCUCGCUUUGCCCGGCGUGAAAGCCCCCGGCUCAACCGGGGAGGGUCGUCGGGGACGGGCGGGCUUGAGGUCGGCAGGGGCAGGUGGAAUUCCCGGUGUAGUGGUGAAAUGCGUAGAGAUCGGGAGGAACACCCGUGGCGAAGGCGGCCUGCUGGGCCGGACCUGACGCUGAGGCGCGAAGGCGUGGGGAGCGAACGGGAUUAGAAACCCUCGUAGUCC
rnacentral:rRNA from 1 species